rnacentral:rRNA from 1 species
UACGAAGGGUGCAAGCGUUACUCGGAAUUACUGGGCGUAAAGCGUGCGUAGGUGGUUUGUUAAGUCUGAUGUGAAAGCCCUGGGCUCAACCUGGGAAUUGCAUUGGAUACUGGCAGGCUAGAGUGCGGUAGAGGGUAGUGGAAUUCCGCGUGUAGCAGUGAAAUGCGUAGAUAUGCGGAGGAACACCGAUGGCGAAGGCAAUCCCCGUGGACCUGUACUGACGCUCAUGCACGAAAGCGGUGGGGAGCAAACGAGG